rnacentral:rRNA from 1 species
AACGAACGCUGGCGGCAGGCUUAACACAUGCACGUCGAGCGCCCCGCAAGGGGAGCGGCAGACGGGUGAGUAACGCGUGGGAGUCUACCCAUCUCUACGGAAUAACGCAUGGAAACGUGUGCUAAUACCGUAUACGUCCUUCGGGAGAAAGAUUUAUCGGAGAUGGAUGAGCCCGCGUUGGAUUAGCUAGUUGGUGGGGUAAAGGCCUACCAAGGCGACGAUCCAUAGCUGGUCUGAGAGGAUGAUCAGCCACACUGGGACUGAGACACGGCCCAGACUCCUACGGGAGGCAGCAGUGGGGAAUAUUGGACAAUGGGCGCAAGCCUGAUCCAGCCAUGCCGCGUGAGUGAUGAAGGCCCUAGGGUUGUAAAGCUCUUUCACCGGUGAAGAUAAUGACGGUAACCGGAGAAGAAGCCCCGGCUAACUUCGUGCCAGCCGCCGCCGUAAGAC